GCUGCCCAGUCUUUUGAAAGAUAUUUGAAAAUUCAGGAUACAUGUUUACAGAAGAGACAAACUUGACUUCAUUAUCUAGAGCCAGAACACAUAGUAUCUGUAUAUCCACGGUGAUUGGGACUAAUGCCAAGAUUUGAAAUAAUACCUCAGACAGUUCAGCUUCAGAGAGAGAAUAGCUUUUGAAAAAUCUAAAAUCUACCUUAGGAACGUACAUUUCUCUAAGCAAAAAAGAUCCACGUACGACCUCUGGUCCUCAGACCAAACAGCCCAAGGAACAUCUCACCAAUUUUAAAUCCGAGAUGAAGGAGAUGCGUUUCAUCCGUGGACCCAAAACUCUGAUGCCAGUCACAGACUCAGGAAGACAUUCUUCCCUUGGUGUUUAAUCACGCGGGGACGCCUGCCUGAUUACUCACCCACGUUUCAGAGGUGUCUGACCACAUGGGGAUGCCUGCCUUGGUCCUUCAACCUUAGCAGCAAGUACCACUUUUCUGGGGGUGUGUGGGACCCCAUGGAAAAUCAGACUGUUCAACUCACCUGGCAGCCACUGACAGAGCCCCUGGAAAUCUGGCCCAAGACUCUCUAACUGACUCCUUCCCAGAUCUUCUCAGUUUAGAGUC
rnacentral:lncRNA from 10 species